rnacentral:rRNA from 1 species
UACGUAGGGUGCAAGCGUUAUUCGGAAUUACUGGGCGUAAAGCGUGCGCAGGCGGUUUUGUAAGUCUGUUGUGAAAUCCCCGGGCUUAACCUGGGAACUGCAUUUGUGACUGCAUGGCUAGAGUGUGUCAGAGGGGGGUAGAAUUCCACGUGUAGCAGUGAAAUGCGUAGAUAUGUGGAGGAAUACCGAUGGCGAAGGCAGCCCCCUGGGAUAACACUGACGCUCAUGCACGAAAGCGUGGGGAGCAAACAGG